rnacentral:rRNA from 1 species
GGGUUGUGAGGUUAAGCGACUAAGCGUACACGGUGGAUGCCCUGGCAGUCAGAGGCGAUGAAGGACGUGCUAAUCUGCGAUAAGCGUCGGUAAGGUGAUAUGAACCGUUAUAACCGGCGAUUUCCGAAUGGGGAAACCCAGUGUGAUUCGUCACACUAUCAUUAACUGAAUCCAUAGGUUAAUGAGGCGAACCGGGGGAACUGAAACAUCUAAGUACCCCGAGGAAAAGAAAUCAACCGAGAUUCCCCCAGUAGCGGCGAGCGAACGGGGAGGAGCCCAGAGCCUGAAUCAGUGUGUGUGUUAGUGGAAGCGUCUGGAAAGGCGCGCGAUACAGGGUGACAGCCCCGUACACAAAAAUGCACAUGCUGUGAGCUCGAUGAGUAGGGCGGGACACGUGGUAUCCUGUCUGAAUAUGGGGGGACCAUCCUCCAAGGCUAAAUACUCCUGACUGACCGAUAGUGAACCAGUACCGUGAGGGAAAGGCGAAAAGAACCCCGGCGAGGGGAGUGAAAAAGAACCUGAAACCGUGUACGUACAAGCAGUGGGAGCACGCUUAGGCGUGUGACUGCGUACCUUUUGUAUAAUGGGUCAGCGACUUAUAUUCUGUAGCAAGGUUAACCGAAUAGGGGAGCCGAAGGGAAACCGAGUCUUAACUGGGCGUUAAGUUGCAGGGUAUAGACCCGAAACCCGGUGAUCUAGCCAUGGGCAGGUUGAAGGUUGGGUAACACUAACUGGAGGACCGAACCGACUAAUGUUGAAAAAUUAGCGGAUGACUUGUGGCUGGGGGUGAAAGGCCAAUCAAACCGGGAGAUAGCUGGUUCUCCCCGAAAGCUAUUUAGGUAGCGCCUCGUGAAUUCAUCUCCGGGGGUAGAGCACUGUUUCGGCAAGGGGGUCAUCCCGACUUACCAACCCGAUGCAAACUGCGAAUACCGGAGAAUGUUAUCACGGGAGACACACGGCGGGUGCUAACGUCCGUCGUGAAGAGGGAAACAACCCAGACCGCCAGCUAAGGUCCCAAAGUCAUGGUUAAGUGGGAAACGAUGUGGGAAGGCCCAGACAGCCAGGAUGUUGGCUUAGAAGCAGCCAUCAUUUAAAGAAAGCGUAAUAGCUCACUGGUCGAGUCGGCCUGCGCGGAAGAUGUAACGGGGCUAAACCAUGCACCGAAGCUGCGGCAGCGACGCUUAUGCGUUGUUGGGUAGGGGAGCGUUCUGUAAGCCUGCGAAGGUGUGCUGUGAGGCAUGCUGGAGGUAUCAGAAGUGCGAAUGCUGACAUAAGUAACGAUAAAGCGGGUGAAAAGCCCGCUCGCCGGAAGACCAAGGGUUCCUGUCCAACGUUAAUCGGGGCAGGGUGAGUCGACCCCUAAGGCGAGGCCGAAAGGCGUAGUCGAUGGGAAACAGGUUAAUAUUCCUGUACUUGGUGUUACUGCGAAGGGGGGACGGAGAAGGCUAUGUUGGCCGGGCGACGGUUGUCCCGGUUUAAGCGUGUAGGCUGGUUUUCCAGGCAAAUCCGGAAAAUCAAGGCUGAGGCGUGAUGACGAGGCACUACGGUGCUGAAGCAACAAAUGCCCUGCUUCCAGGAAAAGCCUCUAAGCAUCAGGUAACAUCAAAUCGUACCCCAAACCGACACAGGUGGUCAGGUAGAGAAUACCAAGGCGCUUGAGAGAACUCGGGUGAAGGAACUAGGCAAAAUGGUGCCGUAACUUCGGGAGAAGGCACGCUGAUAUGUAGGUGAAGUCCCUCGCGGAUGGAGCUGAAAUCAGUCGAAGAUACCAGCUGGCUGCAACUGUUUAUUAAAAACACAGCACUGUGCAAACACGAAAGUGGACGUAUACGGUGUGACGCCUGCCCGGUGCCGGAAGGUUAAUUGAUGGGGUCAGCGCAAGCGAAGCUCUUGAUCGAAGCCCCGGUAAACGGCGGCCGUAACUAUAACGGUCCUAAGGUAGCGAAAUUCCUUGUCGGGUAAGUUCCGACCUGCACGAAUGGCGUAAUGAUGGCCAGGCUGUCUCCACCCGAGACUCAGUGAAAUUGAACUCGCUGUGAAGAUGCAGUGUACCCGCGGCAAGACGGAAAGACCCCGUGAACCUUUACUAUAGCUUGACACUGAACAUUGAGCCUUGAUGUGUAGGAUAGGUGGGAGGCUUUGAAGUGUGGACGCCAGUCUGCAUGGAGCCGACCUUGAAAUACCACCCUUUAAUGUUUGAUGUUCUAACGUUGACCCGUGAUCCGGGUUGCGGACAGUGUCUGGUGGGUAGUUUGACUGGGGCGGUCUCCUCCUAAAGAGUAACGGAGGAGCACGAAGGUUGGCUAAUCCUGGUCGGACAUCAGGAGGUUAGUGCAAUGGCAUAAGCCAGCUUGACUGCGAGCGUGACGGCGCGAGCAGGUGCGAAAGCAGGUCAUAGUGAUCCGGUGGUUCUGAAUGGAAGGGCCAUCGCUCAACGGAUAAAAGGUACUCCGGGGAUAACAGGCUGAUACCGCCCAAGAGUUCAUAUCGACGGCGGUGUUUGGCACCUCGAUGUCGGCUCAUCACAUCCUGGGGCUGAAGUAGGUCCCAAGGGUAUGGCUGUUCGCCAUUUAAAGUGGUACGCGAGCUGGGUUUAGAACGUCGUGAGACAGUUCGGUCCCUAUCUGCCGUGGGCGCUGGAGAACUGAGGGGGGCUGCUCCUAGUACGAGAGGACCGGAGUGGACGCAUCACUGGUGUUCGGGUUGUCAUGCCAAUGGCACUGCCCGGUAGCUAAAUGCGGAAGAGAUAAGUGCUGAAAGCAUCUAAGCACGAAACUUGCCCCGAGAUGAGUUCUCCCUGACUCCUUGAGAGUCCUGAAGGAACGUUGAAGACGACGACGUUGAUAGGCCGG